rnacentral:rRNA from 1 species
CCUACGGGAGGCAGCAGUGAGGAAUAUUGGUCAAUGGCCGGAAGGCUGAACCAGCCAUGCCGCGUGAAGGUCAGUGCCCCAUGGGCGUUAAACUUCUUUUGUGCGGGAGCAAUAAUGGUCACGUGUGGCCAGACGAGAGUACCGUACGAAUAAGCAUCGGCUAACGCCGUGCCAGCAGCCGCGGUAAUUCGGGGGAUGCAAGCGUUUUCCGGAUGUAUUGGGUUUAAAGGGUGCGUAGGCGGGGAGGUAAGUCAGCGUGGAAAUGCCCCCGCUCAACGGGGUGAAGUGCCAUUGAUACUGCCUUGCUGGAAUGCGGAUGCCGUAGGAGGAAUGUGUGGUGUAGCGGUGAAAUGCAUAGAUAUCACACAGAACACCGAUUGCGAAGGCAUCUCACGAAUCCGCGAUUGACGCUGAUGCACGAAAGCGUGGGUAUCAAACAGGAUUAGAUACCCGGGUAGUC